GAUGAACGCUGGCGGCGUGCCUAACACAUGCAAGUCGAGCGAACAGACGAGGAGCUUGUUCCUUUGACGUUAGCGGCGGACGGGUGAGUAACACGUGGAUCACCCACCUAUAAGACUGGGAUAAUUUCGGGAAACCGGAGCAAAUACCGGAUAAUCUACUGCACCGCAUGGUUCAAUAGUGAAUGACGGCUUUGCUGUCACUUAUAGCUGCAUCCGCGCCGGAUUGUCUAGUUGGUAGGGUAACGGCUUACCAAGGCUACGAUGCGUAGCCGACCUGAGAGGGGGAUCGGCCACACUGGAACUGAGACACGGUCCAGACUCCUACGGGAGGCAGCAGUAGGGAAUCGGCGGCAAUGGGCGGAAGCCUGACGGAGCAACGCCGCGUGAGUGAUGAAGGUCUUCGGAUCGUAAAACUCUGUUAUUGGGGAAGAACAGAUGUGUAAGUAAAUAUGGACGUCUUGACGGUACCUAAUCAAGAAGCAACGGCUAACUACGUG
rnacentral:rRNA from 1 species